AUUGAACGCUGGCGGCAUGCUUAACACACGCAAGUCGAACGGUAACAGGCCCUUCGGGGUGCUGACGAGUGGCGGACGGGUGAGUAAUGCUUAGGAAUCUGCCUAGUAGUGGGGGAUAACCCGGGGAAACUCGGGCUAAUACCGCAUACGCACUACGGUGGAAAGCCGGGGACCGCAAGGCCUGGCGCUAACAGAUGAGCCCAAGUCGGAUUAGCUAGUUGGUAGGGUAACGGCCUACCAAGGCGACGAUCCGUAACUGGUCUGAGAGGACGACCAGUCACACCGGAACUGAGACACGGUCCGGACUCCUACGGGAGGCAGCAGGUGGGGAAUAUUGGACAAUGGGGGAAACCCUGAUCCAGCGACGCCGCGUGGGUGAAGAAGGCCUGCGGGUUGUAAAGCCCUUUCAGUGGGAAGAAAAGCCUCGACCUAACACGUCGGGGUCUUGACGUAACCCAUAGAAGAAGCACCGGCUAACUCUGU
rnacentral:rRNA from 1 species